rnacentral:pre_miRNA from 1 species
GGGUGUAUGUAUGGUGUUCAGCACCAAGGACAGGUAUGUUCGCCGAUGUGUAUGUGUGGUGUUCAGCACCAAGGAAAGGUAUGUUUGGCG